UGGUGCACAUCGACACCAAUCACAAGCUAAUCAGAUACAACUUUGUUAUCUUUGGAGGAAUAGAUGGCUAUUCAAGAAAGAUUAUGUACUUGAAGGUAGCAGACAACAACCGGUCUGACACCCACUUGGUCUUCUUCAAUGAAGCUGUGAACGAGCAUGGGUAUCCACUGAGAGUGAGAGGAGAUCAUGGAGGGGAAAAUGUUAGAGUAGCAGAAUUAAUGUUCUCAGUUCGUGGAACUGACAUUAACAGCUUUAUUGCAGGGAAAAGCGUACACAACUAACGAAUUGAACGUCUCUGGCGUGAUGUGUUCAAGUGUUACGGGUGUGUUUUACAACACCUUGCACUCUCUUGAGGAACAACACCUGCUUC